CUCUUAUAAUGAGAAGUGGAGGGACUGGCCCGUUGAAACUUCAGCAACCAUUCAAUGAUUGAAAAGGUGCUACAUCCAGCAAAGGCGACUUUGGCAGAUAAGGG
rnacentral:ncRNA from 2 species